rnacentral:rRNA from 1 species
UACGUAGGGGGCAAGCGUUGUCCGGAAUCAUUGGGCGUAAAGCGCGCGUAGGCGGCCCGGUAAGUCCGUUGUGAAAGUCAAAGGCUCAACCUUUGAACGCCGAUGGAUACUGCCGGGCUAGAGUCCGGAAGAGGCGAGUGGAAUUCCUGGUGUAGCGGUGGAAUGCGCAGAUAUCAGGAGGAGCACCGAUUGCGAAGGCAGCUCGCUGGGACGUUACUGACGCUGAGACGCGAAAGCGUGGGGAGCAAACAGG